UGAAACCCGACAUAUCUUAUCUCCAGUAAUCAGGCAAUCGUAACAAUGGCGUCAACUCUCUUACCAAUGAGAGAGCCUAGCUUUAUCGCAAUGAAUGAACCACUUGUUUUCAGCCUGUUAUAAGAUGCACCUCACAGCAAAUUUUCUAUGCAUUUCAACAACCCCUUGCAGAAGGCACAAACCUGCUGAAGUUGAAGUGUUUUAAUCUAAUCCAAGAUUUGUCGCUGAUUGCUCUCCACUAGAUAAGGAUUGAAGAUGUCUGCAAAAAUAAUUGUGUUAUUUGCCGUUAUCUACGUGGUCAACUGUCGCGUGCCAUCAAAUCCGCUGAAACGCAUGUUUGCUGGCGUGGAUAAGCGAGCACCAUCAU